GAUGACUGAUGAAAAUUAUGAAUGGAAAGAUGCUUUCAAAAAGAAUAGAGUAAAACUCGUUAAAGGCUUGGAAAAUCCUGAUGCAGUUGCAGGUCAACUUUUUCAAUCAGCAAUUUUGAAUGCCGAAAUGCACGAAAUUAUCGUACAAAUGGAUGAACGAGAACAGAAAACGAGGAAAAUUUUGGACACUUUAAACUAUCGAGGUAAGAAAGGUGUUGCUGCACUACAUGACGCUUUUAUGGAAACUGAAAACAAGGACCUUGCAAACGUCCUUGCACCAUAUGUUAUAGCAGUUGAAAAAAUAGCGAGCAAGACUGAGCCCAAAGAAUGGCCUCCGAGUAACUUAGAGGACACAGCGAUGACGAAAGAGCACCUUAUCGAGAUAAAAGAUAAAAAAAGUCCUUGGUUUGUUCACGAAUAUGGAAAAGAAUCCGUCUACGACAUGAAAGGAGAGUGUCGAGGAAACGUUUUUAUCAUCAACAAUGUAUCAUUUGGUAAAAAAUGGGCAUGUCGAACAAGUUCUUUUACUGAUGCAAAAAACCUUAGUCAAUUGUUUAAGGAACUCCACUUUACUGUACAACAAUGGGACAAUUUAACA